ensembl:lncRNA
CAAGAGUGGCCUCUGUGGAGAGGAAAGGCUGGAUCCACCUGAUGUUAUAAAGAAGAAAGCUGCAUGACUGGCACAGUUUAGCAGGAGAAGAAGAAGGAUUUGUUGUCCAGGACUACUCCAAGGUUAAGUGCACUGUCAUUUGGAAUUAUUUGAAGAAUCACAAGAUCUUCACAUGGAGAUGGGGUAACCACAGCUCAGUCCUGCUGGGAUUUAGUUACGGCUGGUGAGGUACCAUUUAUGACGAGAUACCUGCCAGACAUGCUGAAAUCAGAACAGAAAAAUUAGUAUCAGAGGAAGGAAAAGAGAAGAUGAGUUGAGUGUCAUCAGCAUAGCAAUGGAAAACCCCUGAAGGGCUCGGAUAAUGAAGACCGAUGAUUGGGAUAUGGAUUGAUUUAACUGGCAGUAUUCUGUAAACAAAACCCCAUAUUACACAACUCACCUGACCUGCUCUCCAUGUUGCAGAAUCUAUUUCCGUGAAUAAGACUUACCCCUGAAAGGCAAUGUCCAACCUAUAGCUGUCGACCAGAGAUAGAUUAACGUACAGUGAAUGGUUGCCUAUUUGGCUAAACAUCCUGAAGGCCAUAUACACAGGAGUGUGUAUAUGAGGAGGACAAAACCUCAUGCUGACCUGGGAAACAUGCUUCACCAAUUAGCAGCCUCACUACAGGAUCAAAUGCAAUUGAAAACAUUUACCGACAAGACUUCCACACAUCACAAUGCUCCAUUCAUGAAAGCCAGGCUGCUGCUUUUUUCCCUUUCCCUUUUUUAUGAAUGCAGCUCGAACCUGACCUUAUCCCGUACCUGAGUGCAGGUCCACUUUACUGCUUUUUCAGGUCAAAGACUUAACGGAACUCAAGUUCUGGUGUGUCACAUCCUGCACCAGCCUCACACCAUAUUUAACGCCCUCUCAACCAAGCUGCUUUAUUUUGAUGAUUAGGUGCCCCAUUCUCUAAAGAGAUUGUCAGGAUUUGGUUCUGGAUCUGGAUGAGUGCUGAAAAAAGAGUUCCAUAAACCAAAGCUAUAAAGCAACACAUGUUGGUUUGAAC